rnacentral:rRNA from 1 species
UCACUUUAGGAUGAGCCCGCGGCGCAUUAGCUAGUUGGUGGGGUAAAGGCCUACCAAGGCAAUGAUGCGUAGCCGAGUUGAGAGACUGAUCGGCCACAUUGGGACUGAGACACGGCCCAAACUCCUACGGGAGGCAGCAGUAGGGAAUCUUCCACAAUGGACGAAAGUCUGAUGGAGCAACGCCGCGUGAGUGAAGAAGGUUUUCGGAUCGUAAAGCUCUGUUGUUGGCGAAGAAGGAUAGAGGCAGUAACUGGUCUUUAUUUGACGGUAAUCAACCAGAAAGUCACGGCUAACUACGUGCCAGCAGCCGCGGUAAUACGUAGGUGGCAAGCGUUGUCCGGAUUUAUUGGGCGUAAAGCGAGCGCAGGCGGAAUGAUAAGUCUGAUGUGAAAGCCCACGGCUCAACCGUGGAACUGCAUCGGAAACUGUCAUUCUUGAGUGCAGAAGAGGAGAGUGGAACUCCAUGUGUAGCGGUGGAAUGCGUAGAUAU